rnacentral:snRNA from 1 species
GCGGGUGCACCGCCGACCGACCU